GGAAAUAGCUUGCUAUUUUGCUGACGAGUGGCGCACGGGUGCGUAACGCGUAUACAAUCUACCUUUUGCUGAGGGAUAGCCCAGAGAAAUUUGGAUUAAUACCUCAUGGUAUUAUUGAUAGGCAUCUAUUAAUAAUUAAAGGUUACGGCAAAAGAUGAGUAUGCGUCCCAUUAGCUAGUUGGUGAAGUAACGGUUCACCAAGGCAACGAUGGGUAGGGGUCCUGAGAGGGAGAUCCCCCACACUGGUACUGAGACACGGACCAGACUCCUACGGGAGGCAGCAGUGAGGAAUAUUGGACAAUGGGCGAGAGCCUGAUCCAGCCAUGCCGCGUGCAGGAAGACUGCCCUAUGGGUUGUAAACUGCUUUUAUACAGGAAGAAUAAGCCUUACGUGUAAGGUGAUGACGGUACUGUAAGAAUAAGGACCGGCUAACUCCGUGCCAGCAGCCGCGGUAAUACGGAGGGUCCGAGCGUUAUCCGGAAUUAUUGGGUUUAAAGGGUCCGUAGGCGGAUGAUUAAGUCAGGGGUGAAAGUUUGCAGCUCAACUGUAAAAUUGCCUUUGAUACUGGUCAUCUUGAGUUGUAUUGAAGUAGGCGGAAUAUGUAGUGUAGCGGUGAAAUGCAUAGAUAUUACAUAGAACACCAAUUGCGAAGGCAGCUUACUAAGUACUAACUGACGCUGAUGGACGAAAGCGUGGGUAGCGAACAGGAUUAAUACCCUGGUAGUCCACGCCGUAAACGAUGGAUCUAGCUGUUCCGGACCUUGAAUUCUGAACGGCUAACCAAAGUGAAAAAUAU
rnacentral:rRNA from 1 species